UUUCCGUAGGUGAACCUGCGGAAGGAUCAUUAAAAAAUUGGACUCCAUUGGUGAGUUCAUUAAUAAUCCCUACCCUUUGUGAAUUUGUUUGUUUGAAUAAUUUUUUUCUCCAAAAAAAAUUAUUGAAUGUCUUUCCUUGUUUUGGUGGAGCUUGUAAAGUGAAACCAGGCAGGGGAAUGGCAAACAAUAAUUAUCUUUGAAAAAGACCUUUUUUUAAAAUUAAACUUUUUGUAUUCAUUUGUCUAAAAUUAAUUUUUAUAAUAUAAAAACAACUUUUGACAAUGGAUCUCUUGGUUCUCGCAACGAUGAAGAACGCAGCAAAAUGCGAUAAGUAGUGUGAAUUGCAGAAUACGUGAAUCAUCGAAUCUUCGAACGCAUAUUGCACUUUUUUAGUUUACUAAAAAAGUAUGUCUGUUUGAGUAUCAGUAAAAUAUUCUCAUAAAAAACAUUGUUUUUUUUAUGGUUAUGAGUGUUUUACAACGAUAACAAGUUGUUUCACUUUAAAUUCUUUGUUAUCAAAAAAAUCAUUAAAAGCUAAUUUUAAAGAUUUUUUAAAAUUGGAUAAAAUUUUCCCGUAAAAAGGAAUAACCCAAACAAUUUUAAAAAAUUAAAAUUGGUCUGAUUUUUUUUGAAACCCAAAGGAAAAAAAAACGAAAUUAACUUGAUCUCAAAUCAGAUAAGAGUACCCGCUGAACUUAAGCAUAUCAAUAAGCGGAGGAAAAGAAACUAACUAGGAUUCCCUCAGUAACGGCGAGUGAAGCGGGAAGAGCUCAAAUUUGAAAUCUUCAAGGUUUUACCUUGACGAAUUGUAGUUUAAAGAAGUGUUUUCUGUUGGAGUUUUGGUAAAAGUUCUUUGGAAAAGGACAUCAUAGAGGGUGAGAAUCCCGUAUUUGACCAUUAUCUCCAGCUUUGUGAUACACUUUCAAAGAGUCGGAUUGUUUGGGAAUGCAGUCCAAAAUGGGUGGUAAAUUUCAUCUAAAGCUAAAUACUGGCGAGAGACCGAUAGCGAACAAGUACCGUGAGGGAAAGAUGAAAAGAACUUUGAAAAGAGAGUUAAACAGUACGUGAAAUUGUCAAAAGGGAAGCGUUUGACACCAGUGUUGUUUUCUCGAAAAUCAAUUAAAAAAGGCCGGAUUUUGUGUUGUAUUGACUUUAUCAGCCUUCUGCACUCUUUUCUUGUCUUUUUUAAUGCACUUUUCGUUUAACAAGUCAACAUCAAUUUCUUUUGUUGUAAAAGGGUCAUUGGAAGGUGGCUUUCUUUUCGGAGAAAGUGUUUAUAGCCUUUGGCCUCUGCAAUCGGAGAGAUUGAGGUCUGCAGCGUAGAUCCUUCGGGGUUAGAUACAUUUGUGCUAAGUUAUAGCCUUUCAUAGACAACUUGUUGACUAUGAUCAGUCAUGUAGCUUACUCGCUUAUGCUAUUU
rnacentral:misc_RNA from 1 species